GGAAGGGUGGCCAAAUGGUAAAGGCGCAUAUCAGAUUAUAUUAAGUGGCUUGCCAAAGCCAUUUACAGCAAUUUAUUUUGAUAAUCAAGAGGGCAUAUGUAUUUGUGUGUUCAAAUCACACCCCUUCCG
rnacentral:tRNA from 1 species